rnacentral:rRNA from 1 species
UACGUAGGGUCCGAGCGUUGUCCGGAAUUAUUGGGCGUAAAGGGCUCGUAGGCGGUCUGUUGCGUCGGGAGUGAAAACUUACAGCUUAACUGUGAGCGUGCUUCCGAUUCGGGCAGACUUGAGGUAUUCGGGGGAGAACGGAAUUCCUGGUGUAGCGGUGAAAUGCGCAGAUAUCAGGAGGAACACCGGUGGCGAAGGCGGUUCUCUGGGAAUAUCCUGACGCUGAGGAGCGAAAGUGUGGGGAGCGAACGGG